AUGUAGGGGUUCUUCCCAACCCUCUCUGCUCUUCGGCGCGCCAAAUUGCUAUCCGUUUGUUUAAGUAAAACAAUUAGCGAACCCGUUGGAUUGAACAUUGAUUUCCCGGCCUGACUUCUAUUUACUGGCCUUUUGUGGUGUAAUGGUGAUAUUUAUUAACACUGUCUCCUCUCUCACGGUGGCAGGUUCAACUGACUUUCACUCAGAGCGCUUCUUCCGGAUUUGAAAGGCCUGGACGAGCCGUCAGUUUCACGUCCACAGCCAAUCAACGUAAUGGACCCAAGACGUACAGACAGACAAACGGACUCACAAACCUCGGCGGGGGUGGAUGGAACUGUGAUGACGAUGAAAGAAUAGAGAAAAGAUUAACCGAAAUGCCUGCCAAGUGAAAGUCCAGAUGAGGCACACGGGACAUCCCAUAAUUAACAUUAUGAUAUCUAUUUUUCUUCAACUGACAGUAAAUCAGACUGGAAUAUCCAUCUGGAUUCAAAAUGAACACACUGUCGUGUCAUCGCCCGGAAUAAAGAUGAGCUUACCACAUGCGUGAAA